UAGGGAAUCUUCCGCAAUGGGCGAAAGCCUGACGGAGCAACGCCGCGUGAGUGAUGAAGGUCUUCGGAUCGUAAAACUCUGUUAUUUGGGAAGAACAAAUGUGUAAGUAACUAUGCACGUCUUGACUGUACCUAAUCAUAAAGCCACGGCUAACUACGUCCCAGCAGCCGCGGUAAUACGUAGGUUGCAAGCGUUAUCCGGCAUUAUUUGGCGUAAAACGCGCGUAGGCGGUUUUUUAAAUCUGAUGUGAAAGCCCACGGCUCAACCGUGGAGGGUCAUUGGAAAAUGGAAAACUUGAGUGCAGAAGAGGAAAGUGGAAUUCCAUGUGUAGCGGUGAAAUGCGCAGAGAUAUGGAGGAACACCAGUGGCGAAGGCGACUUUCUGGUCUGUAACUGACGCUGAUGUGCGAAAGCGUGGGGAUCAAACAGG
rnacentral:rRNA from 1 species